UAAGAAGGGGGCUAGCGUUGCUCGGAAUGACUGGGCGUAAAGGGCGCGUAGGCGGACUGCACAGUCAGGCGUGAAAUUCCUGGGCUUAACCUGGGGACUGCGUCUGAGACGUGUGAUCUAGAGUGAGGAAGAGGGUCGUGGAAUUUCCAGAGUAGAGGUGAAAUUCGUAGAUAUUGGAAAGAACACCGGUGGCGAAGGCGGCGACCUGGUCCUUGACUGACGCUGAGGCGGGAAAGCGUGGGGAGCAAACAGG
rnacentral:rRNA from 1 species